CAGUCGCCACGGUAAUACGAAGGGUGCAAGCGUUAAUCAGAGUUACUGGGCGUAAAGGGUGCGUAGGCGGUUGUUUAAGUCUGUUGUGAAAUCCCCGGGCUCAACCUGGGAAUGGCAAUGGAAACUGGACGGCUAGAGUGUGUCAGAGGAUGGUGGAAUUCCAGGUGUAGCGGUGAAAUGCGUAGAGAUCUGGAGGAAUACCGGUGGCGAAGGCGGCCCCCUGGACGAAGACUGACGCUCAGGUACGAAAGCGUGGGGAGCAAACAGGAUUAGAUACCCCCGUAGUCCCUGUCUCUUAUAC
rnacentral:rRNA from 1 species